AGUCCAGUGAUAUUUCAAAGAUGCCCAUCUAUGACAUGCAGUGCUUUGCAUUAUGUCUGGACGUGGAUUGCAAGUUAACACCGUCGUGACAGCCCAUUGGUGCUAAUGCAAGAGCUUUGUGCUUCUCCCACAACAUGUCUCGUUGGAUAUCUGUCCUCGUGUCUACACUCCAGCCAUGUGACCUGAUUGACAGUGGUGUUGAGAUGAUGGAUU